AAGAUUAGCCUGCGUCCGAUUAGCUAGUUGGUGGGGUAAGGGCCUACCAAGGCGACGAUCGGUAGCUGGUCUGAGAGGAUGACCAGCCACACUGGAACUGAGACACGGUCCAGACUCCUACGGGAGGCAGCAGUGGGGAAUAUUGGACAAUGGGGGCAACCCUGAUCCAGCAAUGCCGCGUGUGUGAAGAAGGCCUGAGGGUUGUAAAGCACUUUCAGUGGGGAGGAGGGUUGAUAGGUUAAGAGCUGAUUAACUGGACGUUACCCACAGAAGAAGCACCGGCUAACUCCGUGCCAGCAGCCGCGGUAAUACGGAGGGUGCGAGCGUUAAUCGGAAUUACUGGGCGUAAAGGGUGCGUAGGUGGUUGAUUAAGUUAUCUGUGAAAUUCCUGGGCUUAACCUGGGACGGUCAGAUAAUACUGGUUGACUCGAGUAUGGGAGAGGGUAGUGGAAUUUCCGGUGUAGCGGUGAAAUGCGUAGAGAUCGGAAGGAACACCAGUGGCGAAGGCGGCUAUCUGGCCUAAUACUGACACUGAGGCACGAAAGCGUGGGGAGCAAACAGGAUUAGAUACCCUGGUAGUCCACGCUGUAAACGAUGUCAACUAGCUGUUGGUUAUAUGAAAAUAAUUAGUGGCGCAGCAAACGCGAUAAGUUGAC
rnacentral:rRNA from 1 species